ACGUUAGCGGCGGACGGGUGAGUAACACGUGGGUAACCUACCUAUAAGACUGGGAUAACUCCGGGAAACCGGGGCUAAUACCGGAUAAUACAUGAAACCGCAUGGUUUCAUGAUGAAAGACGGUUUUGCUGUCACUUAUAGAUGGACCCGCGGCGUAUUAGCUAGUUGGUAAGGUAACGGCUUACCAAGGCAACGAUACGUAGCCGACCUGAGAGGGUGAUCGGCCACACUGGAACUGAGACACGGUCCAGACUCCUACGGGAGGCAGCAGAA
rnacentral:rRNA from 1 species